CACCGUCAGUGCCUGGGGUCAUCAGGUUCAAAUCUGAUGCUCAGAUCUCAGCUCAUGCCCAGCUCCUCCCCCUGCUCUACGCUGCUUUCUGAGCUCCUGGUGACUGAGCCAGGCUUUUCAGCAGCCGCCCAUUUGAUGCUUUUAGUGCGUAAGCCCCUCACUCAGCCCUUCCUGUCACCUGCCUGUGCUGAGUCCUGGGCAGGGACAGAGACACGUGCAGGAGGUACCACUCGGCCCUGCUACUGAGGAGACCCUGCCAGGAGGGAAGACACGGGAAGACACGCAGCACGAGAAAGUCACUCGGGCUGCUGAGACAAAAAUGCCUCCGUGGAACAGAACACUGAGGAACCAUAUGCCAAAAUGGGGAGGCUGUUCUCCGGUGGCUUAGGUACCUCCACUGGGGGCUCCCAUCUUCCUUGUGUGUGGCGUGGUCUCUGCAAUCCUAGAUCAGAAGUUUUCGUGGGAGGAGGCCACCUCCCUGCAGAAUUGGGGGUUUCUUGAAAGAAGGAGCUGCACCGAGACGGCUACCGUUCUUGGGGCUACCCCGGCAGAAGCUUAGGAAACGGAGGAAAUCACUUGGAAGCAAACUCCAGACGGUUACAUUUUGAAGCAGGUGUGCCUACUCAGACCACAGCCAUCCGACCAGGAGCCCCUCUCUCAGGCUCACGUCUAGAAGGAGCUGGGCCAAGCACCAGGUUUCCACAGGAAAGGCGGAGAGGAUUGCUCCAAUCCGAUUACCAGAAUGUGCUCGCAUCGCCGGCAGCACUGAGAUUGGGCCAGCCCAUUUCUGCCUGGAUGCCUGCUGGGGAGGGGUUGGCAUGGCAACAUGAGCUCUGAGCUGCUGAAACUUGGAGUCAACUCAUAGCUGGGAGGACAGAAAGAACGAUGGAAGAGGAUGCCUUUCUGUGUGAUGCAGGUCAGACAAAUCUGGGCUAAUCCCUGGAAACCACAUCCCAGAAGCAGAACCCGGGCCCGGGGGCCAGUGUGAACACAGGAGCUGUAACAACAACUCCCACCAACACGGCUGUGCCAGAAGCCCCUCUUACCUGAGGAGGGGCCGCCGGGACCUUCUUAUCUUUCUGGCUGAAGAGGGAGCACUUACUGCGAAGUCAAGGACCUGAAAGGAGAUGAGCGGUUCACAGAGGUGCCCCGGAACUCAACAGUCACCGAGCAGCCCAGUACAAGUGAGCCAGGUACAAAGACCGAGGGGCCGCACCUGCGCGAAAGGCACCGCCACACCCUCCACGUCGCCAAGGAGAGGGUGUGGGCCCCGUUGUCCCCACGAAGUUCAGUCAGAGGGGGUGGGGGCGGAGGCUUGUGGGAUAGACCCAGACAGGCCUGGGGGUUAGGAGGGUUGACAGGUGGGGAGGACUCCGUGGAUGGGAGGCAUGAGGCUUCCAUGUGGACGGCUGGACCCAGGCCAGGCCAGAGAUGUGCAGGUGAGGGGUGGGGAGAGGCGAAUUCAGAGUUCCAGCAGCGGAGCCUGGGUUUGAUCUGAUAGGCGAAGCUAGAACAAUCAGAGCUCUCCCCAGGAGCUCUGUGUAAUCUUCGCCUCACAAAGAUACCUGAGGGUGGGGGAGAGCUGAACUCAGACCCGGAAAGAGGGACAGUGGCUACUGGGGCGGAGGUGGGGUGGGGGGAGGAAGCCGCUUGGCAGCAGAUAAGGCGUAUAGAGUAGACAGACCGGCAGUGGGAAGACUCAGCGGGGACACUUCGUGAACCCAAUGGGGUCUUCGGAGGGGGACGUUUGGGAGCUCACUGCUGUGAGCAGAGACUUAUGGACACGGAGCUGCCGGCUCCCUGCAUUCCUUGCUGACCCAGUCCCAGGAUCGGCCGGCCCAGACACUCCGCCGUAGGGGUUCUUAGCAGGCUCUCUCUGGCCCCGCCCCCACCUUUCUAGCCCCUCCCCGGCUUCAAGGGCUGGACCCGCCCCGAUUUCUGGUCUGGGCCCCUGGGCCUCAGGCAUUGCCUGGCCUCUACUCUCUGGCCCCGCCUCCUGAAACCUGGCCCCAGGCAGCUCUCUGGCGGCGCGCCCUGGCCUCAGGCAAAGUUCUGACUCUUUAGCCCUUCCUUCCAGUCCCAAGUCCCGCCCGGGACUUUCCAGCCGAAUCCCUGGCUUUUGGCUCCGCCCCCUGGAUUUAGGCCCAGGAAGUUCAGCUCGCAUCCCGCGCAACCUGUGCGGAGCCCGUUGGCCUUCCACCUUCUCUAGCCAGUUCUGCUGCCCGGCCCAGAGCCCUUUUCCCACCCUCACAUCGCAGGCAAGGCAACCGUUACUCCCCGGAGCCCCUCUGGACCAGCCCCGGUCCUUUACAUACACUUAUUUUGCAAAUCACCCAGGCUCUUUCAGAGGAAUCUGAAAUUUGAGGCCCGAGCCCUCUGCCCUCAAGCCAAAGAUAUUGCAGAGGAGCUAGGAGUGUUUCCUCCUGAU